AUUGAAAAUUCCGAAUCUAAAAGGGUACCAUUUUGCAGAUCAAAUUUAUCACGAGAGAUUAGAGAGCAAUUUCAGAUCGACAAUGGCGGAUGUAGAAGAUGACGACGUUCCUUUGCCUUCCGCUCGUUCUAUUCGAGAUCGCCUCACUCAUUCUCCCGCUUCAUUUGUUCUCUUUUGAAUUUCUUUUGGUGGAUAUUAUUCAUGGACAAUGCGUGAAGUUGCUGCUAGAAGAGCCUUAAGUUGUUUAAUGAGAUUGAAAGUUUGAGUAGUUAGAAGAAUAUAACUUCUAAGUAGUCUAUGUAGUGUUGGAUUUUUCAAUCAUGGAACUCUAUAUGAUUAUGAUAUUUUAAUUGACAAAAGUAAAUAUUUCAUCGGGAGAUCUGUCCAUUCUCAAUAAAACUUCCAUCUAUUUUAGUUA